CCGCCCCCGCGCCGCGUGACCCGCGGCCCCCGGACACCCGACACCCCGAGGCCCGGGUCCCCGCCUCCUCGCCUCUCAGCGUCCAGGGACUUGCACCAGAUUAUGUGAGUGAACAAGCUGUGCAACCACCCGAGCUGGGUAGGGAUUCUGCAGACCUCUCCUCGAGUGAGUGGCCUGGGAUCUGAUGACAUCGCAGCGGGCCUCAGCCUCCCCAGCCCUCUCUCCGAGAAGGUGCUAGUUACAUGUGUCUGCUCUUUUUGUGGAAAUUCAUUAAACUGGACACUUACAUUUUUAUAAGUAUGCUAUACUUAUAUUUUUGGAAGUUUUGAAAAGUUGAGAAAAGGAAAAAAUAAGUGGUGCUGACUCUAAGGAUUCUGUGAGGAUUAAAUGAAUCAACACAUUGAACAGAAUAAUGCCAAAAAUUCAGAAUCAUAGUCAGGUCAUUUUAAUUUGGGCCACAAAGACUCGAUGACCACCCUAGAGCAGGAACAGACUCUACUGAUUAUCUAACCCAGUGGGUCUCUAUGUGUGUCUGCAUGCACGACAAUGGCUUGGGCACAGAUCUUCAGCCAAGUGCCUUCUCCUGGGAUGGCUUCUUCAGCAGUUUUGUUGAAGGCAAAAGUGGUGUGCCCAGACUGGCUGUUUACCCAGUCACCCGCAUGACUCCAAUAUAAGGAACAUGACUCUUUAUUUGAAGAUAUCUCUGAAGAAAAAAUACUUACAAACACUCAUGGAGGAAAUACAGAAGCAUCACAGUUUGAAGAAGAAAGAAAUGUUACAGCCCAUUUUAGGAUCAAACUAAAGCAAUGCUAAUCAAGGUCCAAGGAUUUGCUCUGUGGAUCAAUAUAAACCUUUCUUUUAAACACAACUUCUUCAAAAAAUGUAAGUA